ACCGCUUCUAUCGAUUUUGAGCCACACUCAGCUGUACUUGAUUCACUCAAACUCGAGAGGCCGUCUCCUGGAUGAUCUAUGGUCCAGUAAACAACUUCUCCUUCCGACCCUUCCAACUUCCUCGGGAAACGCUUUUCUUUCUCGUUUAUUCUCUCUCAAAUCCCAUCGAGCGGAUCUCUGUAUAGGUAAAACCCCGAGCUGG
rnacentral:lncRNA from 1 species